UACGGAGGGUGCAAGCGUUAAUCGGAAUUACUGGGCGUAAAGGGCGCGUAGGCGGCCUGUUAAGCCAGAUGUGAAAGCCCCGGGCUCAACCUGGGAACCGCAUUUGGAACUGGCGGGCUUGAGUGCAGGAGAGGAAGGUAGAACUCCCGGUGUAGCGGUGAAAUGCGUAGAGAUCGGGAAGAAUACCAGUGGCGAAGGCGGCCUUCUGGACUGACACUGACGCUGAGGCGCGAAAGCGUGGGUAGCAAACAGG
rnacentral:rRNA from 1 species